UGAGUAGGCGGUAAUAUGUGUCAGAUGUAAAAGGUUAUGGCUUAACCAUAGUUGGCAUUUGAAACUGUAUUACUUGAGUGCAGGAGAGGUAAGUGGAAUUCCUAGUGUAGCGGUGAAAUGCGUAGAUAUUAGGAGGAACACCAGUGGCGAAGGCGACUUACUGGACUGUAACUGACGCUGAGUCACGAAAGCGUGGGUAGCAAACA
rnacentral:rRNA from 1 species